UGCAAGUCAGUAGCUUUGCAGAAUUAGCUUUGGUUAACAACAUUUAAUAAUAAAUAUUAUAGAGCUGUCUCUUGGAGAUGUUAUCGAAAUUUUAAAAAGUAGUUUGUAAUAUUGUAUCUUCAAAAUUCUAGAUAUGCACUCACGCCUAAUUACCUUAGCCUCGAACUAACCUAUUACGUCCAACAUUACAUGUUUCUCGAAAUAAAAUAUCUGAUACUUUCUCCAACCAUGACGCUUGGUUCAUUGAAAUUUUUUUCUUACGUUUUCGUUACAAUAAAUGUAUAUGGGCGUUUCGUACUUUAUGGUUUUGAGGUUGAAUUGGAAUUACAGCAAGAAGUUUGGUCAGUGUUGUGCUCAAUCUAACAGUUUCCAUUGACUGCAGGAGGCUAGUAUUCUUUUGGAGUGAAAUCCGUGAGAAGGAUUCACUUCCGCAUAGUGUGCGCUGACCACGUGCUCCGGCCUCUGCCUGGCUCUGUCUGUUAAACAAUAACCAGGUCCAUUUGCCAUUCCCCGCAGACAAACACACAACGGACUUGCUACUGUAAACACGGAUGGAAGGGCAGGAGUCCAGCCUCCAGUAGAAACCCACUUCGAGGCUCGUUAGAAACUAGCAGAAGCAAGACUGCACCAGCAACUAUCAUGUUAGAGAGGUGCACCUGCGAACACUUAAAUUAGCAGCUCUCAAGCACUCGGCAGACUUUUCCAACUGAAGAGAUGUUCAGUGGGAUGUUUCAAGGACAGUGGAGAGAUUUACUCCUAAAUCCUAUCAAUGCAGCAAGGGUCUUUAACAAUACUUGAUAGUAUCCAAUGAGUGAUGAGAUAAACCUUAUUUUAAUGUUGCAAUCUGUUUUUCAGUUUUAUUACAAUGAAUUGUAUUCAUUUUGCGUGUGAAGUUGACAAUAAAAAUUAAUAUUGUCCAGAA